rnacentral:lncRNA from 1 species
GUUAAAGUCAAGAGACCAAGUUGGCAAUCUAUAUAUGAAGGAUUGUUUGAUUUCGAAGAUAUUGCUGUAUGAAUUUGAUUCAGUAUGGUUGAGCAUUAUCAUCUUGUAUGUAAAAGAAUCUCUAAUUGCUUCUGCAUACAGCAAACAGCAAGGUCUAAAACAUCAUCCUUACACUUUCUGGCAUUCACAUUUUCUCUAUGUAGCAUGUACAGGUCUGUGUAGCUGCCUAACAAAGUGUCACUCCAAACCAUCAGUCUAGCUUUUUGAAUGUUAGAGAGGAAGUACCAUGUCCUUGAUUCUGUUCAGAUCAGAAUAUGC